CCUACGGGAGGCCGCAGUGAGGAAUAUUGGUCAAUGGACGAGCGUCUGAACCAGCCAAGUAGCGUGAAGGCUGACUGCCCUAUGGGUUGUAAACUUCUUUUAUCUGGGAAUAAAACGUUCCACGUGUGGGAUUUUGUAUGUACCAUAUGAAUAAGGAUCGGCUAACUCCGUGCCAGCAGCCGCGGUAAUACGGAGUAUCCGAGCGUUAUCCGGAUUUCUUGGGUUUAACGGGAGCGUAGGUGGAUUGUUAAGUCAGUUGUGAAAGUUUGCGGCUCAACCGUAAAAUUGCAGUUGAAACUGGCAGUCUUGAGUACAGUAGAGGUGGGCGGAAUUCGUGGUGUAGCGGUGAAAUGCUUAGAUAUCACGAAGAACUCCGAUUGCGAAGGCAGUUCACUGGACUGCAACUGACACUGAGGCUCGAAAGUGUGGGUAUCAAACAGGAUUAGAUACCCGGGUAGUC
rnacentral:rRNA from 1 species